rnacentral:piRNA from 1 species
UGCACAGGGACAGAUCACAAAGUGAACC